ACGAGUUCUUCAAAACUCCCAAACCCAUGUGAACAUACCUUACGUUGCCUCGGCAGGGCCGCGCCGACCCGGUAGCAAGCACUUCCUCACCCGGUGAGGGGCUUGCCCGGGAGGCGCGGGGCAACCCUGCCGGCGGCCCACCAAACUCUGUUUAAUAUUGGAAAGCUCUGAAUCAAAACAUUAAAUUAAGUUA
rnacentral:misc_RNA from 1 species